rnacentral:rRNA from 1 species
AUUGAACGCUGGCGGCAUGCCUUACACAUGCAAGUCGAACGGUAACAGGUCUUCGGAUGCUGACGAGUGGUGAACGGGUGAGUAAUACAUCGGAACGUGCCUAGUAGUGGGGGAUAACUACUCGAAAGAGUGGCUAAUACCGCAUGAGAUCUACGGAUGAAAGCAGGGGAUCGCAAGACCUUGUGCUACUAGAGCGGCCGAUGGCAGAUUAGGUAGUUGGUGGGAUAAAAGCUUACCAAGCCGACGAUCUGUAGUUGGUCUGAGAGGACGAUCAGCCACACUGGGACUGAGACACGGCCCAGACUCCUACGGGAGGCAGCAGUGGGGGAUUUUGGACAAUGGGCGCAAGCCUGAUCCAGCAAUGCCGCGUGCAGGAUGAAGGCCUUCGGGUUGUAAACUGCUUUUGUACGGAACGAAAAGCCCUGGGUUAAUACCCUGGGGUCAUGACGGUACCGUAAGAAUAAGCACCGGCUAACUACGUGCCAGCCGCCGCAGUAA